GCUAAAAAUAGAAACAGGGUUGGAUCGUGAUCCAGAAAUAGAUAGGGGGCAUCACUCCUAUAAAAGGCACACCAUUCAAGAGUACAGUGUGUGCACUGUAGGAAGAACCGAAAAGCACGAGCACAUUUUAAAGCAGAGACCACUUUUAUUUUUCUCUUUUCCCCUGCAUUGUGACGCUCCCGAAUCUUGCAUGGUUCCCGCACACACUUUUGGAGAUGCUGGCUGGUAUGGCUCAAACCAGUUGAAACACAGAAUGGGAAUGCUGCAAGGAGCAAUGUGACCGUGAAAUAGAAGAAAGGGAAAAAGGAGUGACGCACAAACAUUCAAACGGGAAACACUGUAUGGGCCACACCCAUGCUGAGAAUGUAAAAAGUACCAUCUUUAAAAUCCUACAUAUGGAUUCCUUGUUAUAAAGAUAUGUGUCGUAUAAAUAAUACACAUUUUUCAUAAAAAUAACAAUAUUACCACGUAUCUAAUGGAAAUGUGUAUUCCUAGUAGAGUACAGUACAAGGUUAUGAAAGCCUGUGAGCUUUUAUCUCCUAUUGUUUUUUUUUGUUGUUGUUUUUUUUUAAACUGCCUUAAAUACUGUGUAGGCCAUUUCAUUUGUUUAUUUUGAUGGCAAGUCGUCACCUUGGAGUGUUUUUCCAUAUGUACUGUAUGUAUGAUAACAUCUGGUAAUCCUAGUAACCAACCGGAUUAUCAUUAUCCAUCGAAGGUGUAAUAUAA